rnacentral:rRNA from 1 species
GACCGGCUAACUACGUGCCAGCAGCCGCGGUCAUACGUAGGGUCCAAGCAUUAUCCGGAUUGACUGGGUGUAAAGAGUUGCGUAGGUGGCAGGGUAAGUAGAUAGUGAAAUCUGGUGGCUCAACCAUUCAGACUAUUAUCUAAACUGCUCCGCUCGAGAGCGUUAGGGGUAGCUGGAAUUUCUAGUGUAGGAGUGAAAUCCGUAGAUAUUAGAAAGAACACCGAUAGCGUAGGCAGGCUACUGGGACGUUUCUGACACUAAGGCACGAAAGCGUGGGGAGCAAACGGGAUUAGAUACCCCGGUAGUCCACGCUGUAAACGAUGGAUACUAGCAGUUCCCGGUAUCGACCCCGGAAGUUGCGAAGCUAACGCGUUAAGUAUCCCACCUGUGUAGUACGAUCGCAAGAUUAAAACAUAAAGGAAUUGACGGGGACCCGCACAAGCGGUGGAGCGUGAUCUUUAAUUCGAUGGUAAACGAUAAACCUUACCAAGGCUUGACAUCUCGGGAAGGCUUCCGAAAGGAAUCUGUGCCCUCGGGAACCCGAAGACAGGUGAUGCAUGGCCGUCGUCAGCUCGUGUCGUGAGAUGUUUGGUUAAGUCCAUCAACGAGCGCAACCCUUGCAACCAGUUGGAUUUUUCUGGUAGGACUGCCCCGGUAACGGGGAGGAAGGAGGGGAUGAUGUCAGGUCAGUAUUUCCCUUACGCCUUGGGCUAGAAUCGCGCUACAAUGGCUGGUACAAUGCGAAGCGAAGCAGUGAUGUGAAGCAAAUCGCACCAAAGCCAGUCCCAGUUCGGAUAGAAGGCUGAAACUCGCCUUCUUGAAGUCGGAAUCGCUAGUAAUCGCAGAUCAGCAUGUUGCGGUGAAUACGUUCCCGGGUCUUGCACACACCGCCCG